UACGGAGGGUGCAAGCAUUAAUCGGAUUUACUGGGCGUAAAGGGCGCGUAGGCGGCGAAUCAAGUCAGAUGUGAAAUUCCUAAGCUUAACUUAGGGGCUGCAUCUGAAACUGGUUUGCUUGAGGGUAGACGGAGAAAAUGGAAUUCCACAUGUAGCGGUGAAAUGCGUAGAUAUGUGGAGGAACACCGGUGGCGAAAGCGGUUUUCUAGUUUAUACCAGACGCUGAGGCGCGAAAGCGAGGGGAGCAAAC
rnacentral:rRNA from 1 species